GCUUGACUGCGAGCGUGACGGCGCGAGCAGGUGCGAAAGCAGGUCAUAGUGAUCCGGUGGUUCUGAAUGGAAGGGCCAUCGCUCAACGGAUAAAAGGUACUCCGGGGAUAACAGGCUGAUACCGCCCAAGAGUUCAUAUCGACGGCGGUGUUUGGCACCUCGAUGUCGGCUCAUCACAUCCUGGGGCUGAAGUAGGUCCCAAGGGUAUGGCUGUUCGCCAUUUAAAGUGGUACGCGAGCUGGGUUUAGAACGUCGUGAGACAGUUCGGUCCCUAUCUGCCGUGGGCGCUGGAGAACUGAGGGGGGCUGCUCCUAGUACGAGAGGACCGGAGUGGACGCAUCACUGGUGUUCGGGUUGUCAUGCCAAUGGCACUGCCCGGUAGCUAAAUGCGGAAGAGAUAAGUGCUGAAAGCAUCUAAGCACGAAACUUGCCCCGA
rnacentral:rRNA from 5 species